rnacentral:rRNA from 1 species
UACAGAGGUCUCAAGCGUUGUUCGGAUUCAUUGGGCGUAAAGGGUGCGUAGGUGGCGCCGUAAGUCAGGUGUGAAAUCUCGGGGACUCGAACCCCGAAACCUGCACUUGAUACUGCGGUGCUCGAGUACUGGAGAGGAGAUUGGAAUUUACGGUGUAGCAGUGAAAUGCGUAGAUAUCGUAAGGAAGACCAGUGGCGAAGGCGAAUCUCUGGACAGUUACUGACACUGAGGCACGAAGGCCAGGGGAGCAAACGGG